AUUGAACGCUGGCGGCAGGCCUAACACAUGCAAGUCGAACGAGUGGCGGACGGGUGAGUAAUGUCUGGGAAACUGCCUGAUGGAGGGGGAUAACUACUGGAAACGGUAGCUAAUACCGCAUACCAUCGGAUGUGCCCAGAUGGGAUUAGCUAGUAGGUGGGGUAACGGCUCACCUAGGCGACGAUCCCUAGCUGGUCUGAGAGGAUGACCAGCCACACUGGAACUGAGACACGGUCCAAACUCCUACGGGAGGCAGCGGUGGGAAAUAUUGCACAAUGGGCGCAAGCCUGAGGCAGCCAUGCCGCGUGUAUGAAGAAGGCCUUCGGUUUGUAAAGUACUUUCAGCGGGGAGGCGUUACCCGCAGAAGAAGCACCGGCUAACUCCGUGCCAGCCGCCGCGGUAAUU
rnacentral:rRNA from 1 species